rnacentral:ncRNA from 1 species
GGAGCCUGCGGCUUAAUUUGACUCAACACGGGAAACUUACCAGGUCCAGACAUAGUAAGGAUUGACAGACUGAGAGCUCUUUCGAGAUUCUAUGGGUGGUGGUGCAUGGCCGUUCUUAGUUGGUGGAGCGAUUUGUCUGGUUUAAUUCCGUUAACGAACGAGACCUCAGCCUGCUACUAGCUAUGCGGAGGUAUCCCCUCCGGCCAGCUUCUUAGAGGGACUACGGCCUUUCAAGCCGCGGAAGUUUGAGGCAAUAACAGGUCUGUGAUGCCCUUAGAUGUUCUGCCGCACGCGCGCGCUACACUGAUGUAUUCAACGAGCAUAUAGCCUUGGCCGACAGGCCCGGGUAAUCUUUGAAAUUUCAUCGUGAUGGGGAUAGAUCAUUGCAAUUGUUGGUCUUCAACGAGGAAUUCCUAGUAAGCGCGAGUCAUCAGCUCGCGUUGACUACGUCCUGCCUUUGUACACACCGCCCGUCGCUCCUACCGAUUGAAUGAUCCGGUGAAGUGUUCGGAUCGCGGCGACGUGGGCGGUUCGCUGCCCGCGACGUCGCGAGAAGUCCACUGAACCUUAUCAUUUAGAGGAAGGAGAAGUCGUAACAAGGUUUCCGUAGGUGAACCUGCGGAAGGAUCAUUG